rnacentral:rRNA from 1 species
CCCAGACUCCUACGGGAGGCAGCAGUGGGGAAUAUUGCACAAUGGGGGGAACCCUGAUGCAGCGACGCCGCGUGGGUGAAGAAGUCAUUCGUGACGUAAAGCCCUCUCAGCAGGGAAGAAAAUGACGGUACCUGACUAAGAAGCCCCGGCUAACUACGUGCCAGCAGCCGCGGUAAUACGUAGGGGGCAAGCGUUAUCCGGAUUUACUGGGUGUAAAGGGAGCGUAGACGGCGGCGCAAGUCCGGAGUGAAAGCCCACGGCCCAACCGUGGGACUGCUCUGGAACUGCGCGGCUAGAGUGCAGGAGGGGCAGGCGGAACUCCUGGUGUAGCGGUGAAAUGCGUAGAUAUCAGGAGGAACACCGGUGGCGAAGGCGGCCUGCUGGACUGCAACUGACGUUGAGGCCCGAAAGCGUGGGGAGCAAACAGGAUUAGAUACCCUUGUAC